CACCGAGUUUAUUUGAUCUGGAUGUGACAAGUCUUGUUUUAAGGCCCAGUGGAUCAAUGAUUGGAAAGACACCAACUGUUGAUGUUCUAUCUCAACAUUCUCCAGACUCAUGUGAGCGAUAAACCGACUUCAUCCCUCCAACAGACACCAACUGUUGGGGUUCUAUCUCAACAUUCUCCAGAUUCAGAUGUGAGCGAUACA